ensembl:lncRNA POLR1HASP POLR1H antisense, pseudogene
CUGGUACUGAGAGGUUGAGCACAAAAUUGGAACGCAGUCGCGGGGUAUAUCCCCCUGAAAACCGUACGUUGCCAAAUAAUGAUUUCUUUGGAUUAGAGAACUACAACUCCCCUGGGUCCUGAGCCGGUAUUUCCCUUUUGCGGCUGCACCGUAGUUAAAAACAAAGCUAAGUGUUCUGGGACGUAUAGUUCUAGCGUUCCUUGGGUCCCGCUGGCGAGCGUGGGCUUUCUGCAGCUCGCAACCGGCCUCGUGCUUUGCGGACGGUUCACUGCGCUUGGAAAGGGAUUGGCCUGGGGUACAUCAUCUAAAGAUCCUAGGAUUGCUGCAGGUCAGCAGUCUCCACUGGAAAAAAAGAUCUUGCCUCGAGGCAAACACACGUCACCGCGUCCGCCUGGGGCAGGUCAGGGAAGGGACGCGAGGCAGCCGUGUCUCCGCAUUCUGUGAGCGGCAGCGCCCUGGGCCUCGCUGAUCUUGUGUCAUUUCAGUGACCUUCGCUCUAGUCUUUGACGGGGCCACACUCGGGGUGUAAAUUAGGAUCCUCACUGAAGGCGCGCGACCCUGAGAGGCUUUUUCCUGGUCCCUUAGUUGUGAGUUUUCCUGCGGGCGGCGGAGCCCGUUUCCACCAGAACCGCCCAGAGGCCGGCGCUGCCUUCCUGGGGUGACGGAGCAGCUGGAAGCGUUUUCGGAUCCUGGAAUCAGUGGGCGGCCCGUGGGAGGGGCUGAGGCGCAGUUCCCUGCUCACCCGGCUCCGAAUCCACCGCGGUGCUGUUUCAAGCGAGUCAGAUUCCAGAUCGCGCUCCAGCCGGGACUCGGAAUUCCUGCCCCGUGGGUCUGCAUUUUCACAGCGGCAGGUGUGAGUGCCGCGCAGCUGGAGACCAGAACCCUGAAGGCAGCUCGGCCCUCCCCAGCCCACAGCGCCGUUAUUCCGUUUCUAUAUCAGUAAACACUUGUCAUUUUCCGUAGACCAGGGCGGGGUGAUGGGUGAUCCCAGUCCUCGCAGUGAACUCCGGGCCGCAGUCCUGAGAACGCGCUCGGGCGCCCAGCGCAGCCGCGUCCUGAGUUACACACGCGACCACGCUGGGCCUUUUCUCUUUCUUUUCCGGACCCAGCAGUGGCGCCUACAGUCUGCGAGGAGAAAAUCACCUUUGUGCUGGUAAGUCCAGGAAUCUAAGGCGAGUGCUGAGGGAGAAAACGUAGUUGAUGGCUCAGAGCAGAAGGAGCUGGAGGUAGGGUAGAGGGGGAGGGCUUUGGACAGAAAAGACCUGGGAGAUUUGGUUGGGGAGGGGCAGCCAGGCCUAGACCCUGGGGAGCGACUCAUCCAAAGUCCAAGAUCAUCACUGCCUCCCCUGCCCCAGAAAGGGAGGGAUUGGCUUCAUGUCUUGUCGCGAUCACCUCUAAAUGCGUUGGAACAAACUUUGCAUAUUAUUAUUAGUAUCAUCGUCAUUGAAGUAUUAAAAGUCUUCUUGGGGGUGAGCUGAAUGAGAUCCUUUGCUGGAACUGCCGCAGGGAGAAAAAGUCCUCGAGAGAGGGUAGACACUGUGGAGGGAAGAGCUUGGGACCAGCGUCAGGAGAGCUGGGUCCAUCUCCCUCUCUGCCCCUCACUACCCUUGUGACCUUUAGCAGUGUAAAUAAUCCCUCUAAGGUGGGGACAAGACCCCAGUCCCUGCUGUGCUCAAUAAAUGAUAAUGCUCGAAAUAAAUAAUCAGUGAAUGUG